rnacentral:tRNA from 1 species
GCCACGGUGGUCUAGCGGUUAGAACGCUGGCCUUGUAAUCCUGGGGUCUCGGGUUCGAUUCCCUCCGGUGCCC